rnacentral:rRNA from 1 species
AACGAACGCUGGCGGCAGGCUUAACACAUGCAAGUCGAGCGCCCCGCAAGGGGAGCGGCAGACGGGUGAGUAACGCGUGGGAACGUACCCUUUGCUACGGAAUAGCUCCGGGAAACUGGAAUUAAUACCGUAUGUGCCCUACGGGGGAAAGAUUUAUCGGCAAAGGAUCGGCCCGCGUUGGAUUAGCUAGUUGGUGGGGUAAUGGCCUACCAAGGCGGCGAUCCAUAGCUGGUCUGAGAGGAUGAUCAGCCACAUUGGGACUGAGACAUGGCCCAAACUCCUACGGGAGGCAGCAGUGGGGAAUAUUGGACAAUGGGCGCAAGCCUGAUCCAGCCAUGCCGCGUGAGUGAUGAAGGCCUUAGGGUUGUAAAGCUCUUUCACCGGAGAAGAUAAUGACGGUAUCCGGAGAAGAAGCCCCGGCUAACUUCGUGCCAGCAGCCGCCGUAACAC